rnacentral:lncRNA from 1 species
GGGGUACAGUAGAGGGAAGGGAGACUGAGACUGAAAUUGGAAUAAAUACCCAUUCCUGCAACAACAGGGAGAAAAGCUCUAGCAAAGUAGGUUCAAAAGGAGUUGAGUGUAGCAUUCAUUUUAGUAGUUCAGACAGCAAUUCUGUUCUUUAGCUGUGUGUCCUGAAACAAGCUGCUUGCUAUACAGUCACUAACAUGUGCAGUAAAGCAAGAUGCUGUACAUUCCAUUGUAAUCUUCCUUCGGAUGUGCGUUUUUUGAAAUGGGACAAUGCUGUAGCAGUGAAGAACAGCAAAUUUUGAGUGCGAAUUUCAGAAGCAAAUAUGUUCUAUUAAAGUGUAGCUGGUGGGGUACACGUACUGUGCAAAGGAGAAGAACUGAAACUCCAGCUGUUGUGCAACCAUUUUUUGGGAUACCUGUGCAGGCUGUUAGGGACUACUUCUAUUUGAGGGUUGAGGCUUCAUGACUAUUGUCCUAUUCUUAAUCUUCUUUAGUUUAAAAGUGAAUGUCCCUUGUUUGAAGAAUAAUUGUUUUUCUGCCAGUGACCUGUAAUUUUGCAUUACGGUGACUUUGGAAACAGUAUUUUCAUUCACUGGAUUAUGUGGAGAUACAGGGAUAUCCUGGCUGCUGAGUGGCUGGUUUUUAGAGGCUCAUGUGUCAAAAUUCAAAUGAGAGAGAAAUAUGUGAGACAACAGAAGAUGCGUAGGCUUUGAGUCUCUCUGCUGCUUCACAAAUGAGUCAACAGAAACUCAGAACAUAAAUUUCAGUAUCUUCCUUUGGCUGCCAGUCAAUGCCAAAGGCACCUGGAGUUCCUUGAUAUUUGCUUGUUUUUAACCAUUACUCUUUCAUUAAUCAUUUUUUUAACCAACAUUCACUACCCAAAGUGCUUAAACUACCCCUUAAAGGAAUGUCCACAUACGUGUGAAGAUCUGUUAAUAACCAGUUUGUGGACUUGAAGCAAAACCUGUACACUUACUCAAGGCUCCAAAACUGACUUCUGCUAUGGGUGUAUGUGUCUGAAGGAGCCCAUCAGUGCCGAUAACUUAUUAUAGGAAUUGAGAUUUUAGGAAGAGCAGCAACUGAAUCGUCUGACAGCUUGGUUUGAUGCAGCCCUUACAUGAACUCAGUAGGAAGACUACCAUUCAUGUCGCUGUUCAUUAGGGAGCCCUUUAAUGCAUGAGCAGGCAUUUCCCUAGUUCAAAGCAUGUCUGUCAGCUUCAGUGGAAUUGCAAACAGACUUUGGCCUGAGCCCAUCUCCCCCGCUCCUGUUUUGUUUUUUAGAAUGCAAAUAAAAGUGGUUUAGUUCAGUUUUUAGGAGCUGGACUAGGGCCUGCCUUCCCACCCAUGACUUUUUAAAUAAAAACAAUAUUUUUUUCAAGUUGUGUAGGCUCAACAAGGGAGGUGAGCUGGCUUGAGAAUCAUAGCUUUCAUAGCCGGGAAAGCAUUUGCAUAAGCUGACAGUUCUUUGUGCCUGACCCUAGCUUUUGGCAACCCCACAGUUCCUGACCAAAGAGCAGGAAUGCUUUGGCAGCUUUCUGGAUUUUCCUGAUGUUCCUGUAAGUGAAGAAAUUGGCAGAAGAGUUUGGCUUCAAUCUCAUCCAGAUUUUCACAUGCAUUCUCUCAGAAAUCUUCACAUUCAACCCAUUCACCCUGCUCCUGCAGUAUUACCAGGAAAAGUGUAGGUAUUUCAUUCACACCAGGGAGAGUACAUAAGAUGAUUCACCCUUGGAUUAACACCAGCCUCUUCAAGGCAAAGCGAUGAAUUUCAAUCUCUGACUUUAAUUUAUCAGCCAUUUUUGUAGAAACACUAGAAGCCAGCACAGCAUGUGAGUAAUGUAAUAUGCAACUCUGCUAGUAUAAAUGAUAGCUCAGCUGUAGUGUUGGUGGACACAUGAUUUGUGAAGGUAACCUAAUGCCUUCAGUCUAAUUUGAUGCUGUGAGAGGCAGGGACUGAAAGGAGGCACAAAUGAGAGACGUUAAUUUCUGUUUAAUGCAGGGCUUGAUAGCUGCAUACAGCUACAUCUAUUGAAAAGGUCAAGUAAAAAGGAGUAAUAACUUCAUGAAGUGGAAAUAUUUUGUAUGUUUGUUACAGUGUGAAAAACAAAGAAUGCAGGGGCCCAGACAAAGUAGUGAGGUGGGAAGCCUGGGACAGAUGCACAAAUUGUUUUAUAAUGUGUGAAAUUUAUUCUAAUUCAGAUGCAAUGCUUUGAAGAGAAUCUCUCUCUUUAUUUAUGAAGGUUGUGACCAUUUGUAUCCACUAACAUCCUGUAAUAUUCUUUGUGUAGCCAUCUAUAUUCAUUCAUCCUGAAAUGCUUAACAAUUUUUUAAUUAAGUAACCUAAUAGAUCCUUGUUCCAUAGUUUCUGGAAAUCUACAGGAAUUCAGUUCUGUAGUUACUUGCCAGCUUCUUCAGAAUAUAACUCAGUCACACUCUGUGAGUGGAGUUGACUGUGUUGGUGCUUUCCCCAUUUCUGGCCUUUCUGAGUGGUGUAAUAAUGGAUCUCUUUAGCGUUUGCCACUUUAUUUCUAGACCACAAAUUUUGUGUUUUCUGAUUUCCUGGUAGUCAGGAGAGGAAAAUGCUCCUAUUCCUCCUGCUUAGAGUCAUCUUCUCAGGGAACCCAGUGACUGUAGAGCUCUGUUGAUUAUAUCCCUUUAAGUACACGUGAGGAGUCCUUGGCUGCCUGGCAUUCAUUCAUUAGUGUUUACAGGGAUCAAUCUCUUAACGUUAAGGUGCUAAGAAUUCAAGAGAUGACCAAAUGCCUAAAUCUGUAAGUGAACAAAGAAAUAUUGGUUCCUUUCCAAGCCCUCUGAAUCAAACUGCAGGGGUUCAUUUUGUGAACUGAACCCUGCAGGAUUCACACAGCUGUAGAGAGAAAUCUAACACCCAGUCCAAAUGAAACAAUUCCAGGAUCCAGCAAAGAAUUCCUAAGCCACACAAGCCAUAAAACUUUCUUUGUGAAAGUCUUGUUUUCUGUUUUUAAUAUUUGUGUAAUGUAUUUGUUAGUUGUCUGCAUCCUUACUACCAGUGAGUAACAGUUCUACACUUCAGGACAAACCAUUAAAUGUACAGCAAGGUUUUUUUUUCAGUCAAACCGUUCUUGAGGUCCUUAGAAGCUGGAAUUUUUCUUGCUUGAGUAAAAAUCUGGAUGUGGGUCUCAUAAUAUGACCUUCAGUGACUUUUACUGCCUUUUUCAUCUUAAGAUCGGUAGAGUUGUGACCUGGAUCACCACUCAUUUGUUCAAGAUUCUGCUUCGUUCACACUGAUGGCCUUUUAGGUUACAAAGUGAGGACUGAAGAAAUUUUAGAUGGUUGAAUUGUGCUAGAGCACAUUAUUGAAUCAGUGAUGUAAGGAAAAACAUAAAUAAAAAAUCUAGCUAGAUUACACAAAAUUAGGCACAUUUAAUUGAUGCACUUGGAGAAUGAAUUCAUUACAUUGCAUAUGUAAUGGGGAAGUUGAGAAGUACAGUUUUAGUUUCAGAAAGUCAAAUGGACGUUCCAAAAUGCAUAAUGACUCAAACGUAUUGUCAUUCUGUCCCUACCUUUAUGUAUGUAGCGGAUAGACAGAAGUCAAGUGGGUUGCUCUCAAAAUGAUGCACGUGUUUGUGUAUGUUUUUUGAAGUUAAACUACAAAUGGAAAAUACGCUCUCUUCUUUGAAACACUAUUUUCUGUCCUGACCAGAAAUUUGCAUCCUUACCUCAUGGUAAAUCAGUGUUAGCCUGCUCCUAUCAUAUGUUUGCUAUGGAUCUCUCAAGUGUUGUGCUCAUGAGCAGUACACUCAAUGUUAAUUCAAUGUUUGUGGAAAUCAGAAAAGCACUGUUUUGCAGUAGGGUUCUCUGAUGUAAGAGGAAUUGCACAUCUUCCCUUACUUAGCUCUUGUUUAAACUAACCUAUAUAUUUUUCAAAAUCAUAAAACCUUGUGGCAGAGAAUACAGAGGACCUAGAAAAUUUUUUCUGAAGGCCAACCAAUAUUGCUGUUGUUUUAUUUCUAGUUUUAAUUGUCUAGCCAUGCCUAACAGCCUUUUUAUUCUAUUAUAUCUUUGUCUAAAUGAAAGGUAUUUUAUAAUCAAACAUACUAUGCUGUAUGUACAAAUUGAAACUCUGAAUUUACUUCUCAUAUAAUUAUUUGAAGGCAAAAAUAAAAUCAAAUCAUAUGUGAAACCCAGCAAAGUUCUUACGUUGCAAUAGAAAAGACAUACAGCACAACAGGUGUUCUACCUCAUUUUUUUUUAUAUACUUGACAGAUUUUUUUUUGUUUGUUUUAAUUUGGAGCAUCUUAGAUGUGGAGGUCAUUACUAACUUUUUUCAAAAAACUAUGCAAAUAAAGGUUGUGGGGGUUUUUUUGUCACCGUUUUAUAGCAAAGUAAAUGAGACAUGUGCUGUGCAGUUCCACCAGACCUAGAGCAGACUGGAAAAGAUAUAAAUAUGUCAGUAUUAUAGGAGGGAAAAUACAUAAAUGCACAUGGUGACUCUCUUAAGUCUUGGGCUCAGUGUGAUACUAAUUCAUUUCUGUGACAUUUGGAAUACUUCUCCCAACAUUAAUAAGUUUAUACUGGGGGGUAAUUCUGACAGACACAGUGUUGAAAUAAAAACUUGAAAGAAUGUCCAUCAGAUUAUACAGGUGCAUAGAACAUGCAUUUGCAGUGAUUGAUGAUCUUUUUGUUAAAGGUUGACAUAAUGUUGAAUGGAAUGUUUUGUUUAUAUGUGGUGGUCUAGUUUAUUGACCGGUACCAAAAUGUAUGACCAAUCUGGGAUUUUGUAUAGUGUCUCUUUUUUUCUUCAUUUUGUUUCUGGAUAAAAAAUCUGUAUUGACCUUUUCUCCCCCAUCAUCAGUACAUGGAUGACCCUUGAUUAUUUUAUAAAUACUAUUUUUCUUAAACUAAUUUUUCCUUUUAAAAAUACUCCAUUGAACUGAAAAUUUCAGAUGAAUAUACCAGAACUUUAAAGAAUAUUUAGAGAAAGGAUUGACCUUCUGGGUAAAUGUUAUAGAACUUUGUUUACCUUCAUUUUUUUUACUGAAGGGAAAAUAACAGUUGACAUGCAAUUUAAAUACAUCUGUCUUCAAUUUGGAAGAUUAUUUCUGUUGAAUUUCAUGUAAAGAAAAAAAUCUAAGAAAAUGUGAGGAUGUCAACUCCUAACAAUUGCAAGUGGAAGAACCAAAAGAUCAUGUCACUAUUAAUAAAUUAUUUUUUCUCUUUUAUAAGAUCAAAUCAGCAGAAUAAUGGAUAUCUUUACUUACAGCUCAGAAUAUUACACUUUAAAUUGCACCAGCCCAUUAUCUGAAUUCAGAAUUUAAAACUGUGAAUAUGCAUAUAUCCAAAACCAUUCUUUAAAUCCAUGUAAAACUUAAGUUUCGCCCUGGAAGCAGAAUUUCAUAUUUUGGGGUACUUCUUGAUAUUCAAAAUAUUAAAGAACAAACCAAAAUAGAGUUUUUGGCAAGGUAUAUUAAAAACAUUAUCACAAGAAGAGCAAUAUAUACACUGCUCUUAGUUGGAAUAAAUGUGAAAUGAGAACUUCUUCAGCUCUUCAGUCCAAAAAAAUAGACUCAAGUUUUCUUCUUAUUCUUCACAUAGAAAGCGUAUUUUAUACACUGUUUUUCACCUGGCCUUAAGGUAACAAUAUCAUGAAAGUUAGUAGCACUCAAGUAGACCAGGUUGUCUUGGCUCAUGGAUGUCUUCAGAGGUGUAAAGACAGUGUAGUCUUUAUCUGAGCCUUUUCACCCUCAGACUGAUCAUCUGACUUGUGAAAAAUCUUGGAAAAUACUCCAGGGCUCUCUGGCCAUCUCACUUUCUUAAUACCUUAUCUGUAUAGGAGAAGAAUUUCCUUCAUCUGUUAGUUUGAAUAACCAUUUCUGUCUGAUGGUCACUGUAUGGUUUCUGCUAUAUAAAAUGGCUAACAUUACAGUUCUUAGAUUUUCCACAGGUAAAGUAGAAAAGUGACAGCUGUUAGUGUGUGUACAGUUCAAGCCUUGGGCCACCAGGAGUUAACCUGUCCAAGAGCUGUUCCCUUCCAGCAAAUUGAAACUACUUGAAAGAAUUUAGCUAAACUAGGACUGUUCUAUACACCUGAUUUUAGUUCUGAAGAAACUUGGUUCAGAAUCUUUCCUAGUCAUGGUCAAGUAAUUUUAACCAAGGAAUAGUUCCUUCUUUCAGUCAUCUGAAUGUCCCUCCGAAUUUAUAAGGGUGUAAGUUUGAUUCAUUGUAUAGCCAGUGCCCUUCAGGUCUGUGAUAUUUUAUUAUUUUUUUUUUCUCUUUCCAUGUUACCUAGAGAAGUAGAAGGUACCUGCAUGUAGAGGUCAGAUAGCAGCAUUGAAGGAGUGACAAAACACCCUUUACCGCUAACACAAAGACAUUCUAUUCUCUUCCGUGUGAGAAGGAAGUUAAAGAACUGGGUACAGACAUCAACUAAGGGUGCAUCAAGGGAGGAGUAAAUAGAGGAAGCUAAGCUUUACAAAGAACAGUGAAGGGAAGUUCCUGUGUCCAACAAAACUUUGAACUGGCAAUUCUGUGAGAGUAGGGACAAGUAAACUUCAGUACAACUAGAAGAAUAUUAGAGUAUGAUCUGUCUUGAAAGAAUUUAGUGAUUAAAAUUAACUUAUUUUUGAAAAACAAGUUAUCAUUUAUGAAUGCUCAGUGGACUCCUUUGCAUUUUGGAUAUUGUAGACAGUGCUUACAACAUCUAGGAAGCCUUAGACAGUACUAACUACUUUGCUUAAUGCUGUGUAGAAUUUACCAUGAUUGAUUCACUAGGGACUGAAUGGAAAGGCAUUUCACUGUUCUUUCUUCUGUAUUGUCAAUGGAUUCAUGUGUGCUUUGUAAAUGAAACUAAAAAUAAUCACUGGGCUAAUCAACUAAAUCACGUUAUUUAAAAGCAUACACGAUUUUAUAUAUGCAUAACUGAAUUUCAGAGUGAGCACAGUUAGUAAAGAAGCACCUAAAUCAUAUUCUCCUUUAUAACCAUGUAGUUGUAUGCAUUAACUUAUUUGCUUGUAUUUUUGUCCUUUUCCUUACAGAUUGGAGUCUGUUUAUUUAUAUUGUUUUACCCUUGUUUUUAAUUGCUAAUUCUAAAUAUUUGAUUAAUGAUUUAUAUCUUUAAUGUUUAUUAGUGUGUUUCUUGAUGGUGUACACACAUUGAACACAACCCAAACUACAGGCAUCUUUAAAAGGAGGUUGGCUUCUAGUGCAGUGGCAAAAUUAGUUUUUAUCUGCAAAAACAGGUAAACUGCGAAGAGCUGUGUAGCUAUCAAAUUGACAGCUGUUAAAUGUUGCCAGAAAAUAUUCUUCAUUUUGUGAUAUUCUUCUAUUUAAUAUUUUGAUUUUAAUUAGCACUUUGAAAAGCUUAGCUUGGCAUAUAAAUCCCAAAUUCAGGAAUAGUUGCGUAGAGUUGCUCCUUAUCAGAGUGUAUCAUUAAGAGAAACAUCAAUGCUAUUUUUUACUUUUUUUGUUAUUCACAAGUGUAUAUCCACUAGAAUGUAAACGUUAUAUAGCAUGCAAUUAGAAAAUACGGAAUCUGAUCUUUUAGCACCAAAAUUAAGCUCCCAAUGCUGUACUGAAGUUAUUAGGGGACUUAUGCGCCUGCAGGGAAAUAAGAGUUGGAAAUAAAAUUACUGGUGAAAAACAGGAUUGUAUUAUAAUAUUGGUUUAAAUAAUGUGCCACCUAAAAAUGUAUUUUCUGUAUAAUAAAUUUAAAGAAAAAGAACAUGCAGGUAGAUAUUCAGGUCUGACUAUGCAAGGGAAGUUAAACAUACAUCAGGUGUAUAUGUGUCAGAGCCUGUUGGAAAACUCUAUGUCAUGCAGACCUGGGAAAUCUAUUCAUCAUGAGCUGUAGACCACCACCGUGUUUGCAGUGCAAAAAGCUAGCCUUUCUUUUCUGGAUAAUAAAUGAUCACAGAACUGGAAAUGAGUCAGACCUUUCAGACCAGCCAAAGACAAACUAUCUUUGAUUCCAAUACUCUUGAUUCACCUGUGCAUAUUCCAUGUAUUACUCAGGUGCUAAGCAGAAGUGCUUUUUGUCUUCAGGGCUGAAAGACCCUUUAGUUUAAAUUAAGGACAUUCACUGGUCUUCCCUGAGAAAGUAAAAUAAAUUUGCUAGUGGUUACUAGUUGUAAAAAGCUGUUAAAAUACACAAGUUCUGCCUCAUUUCCAGUGAAAUGCUGUGACUUAAGAACACUCGUUUAUUGUUACACAGUGUGCUGCCAGACAGUCCAGGUAGAUGAAACCUGAUUCUCUCUCUCACUGCUUUAAGCAUUUCAUUAUCACUUGUGGGUUGUUUCAAAAGACAAGGAAAAUAUAAAACUGCGUGGAGUGAAGUAGUAACUUGCAGCUGAGACUUUUUAGUGUUUUGUUGUUUUUGCUUUUAAAUAAAUUGACUGCAUUUGACCUUUGACUCAGAAGGACCUGAUGGUUUUCUAUUGCUGAAGAAGCAGGUUUCCUUAAUGACAGUGCUAUCAGAGGUGAGAUGAGUAAAGGAAGCUGUAACAUUAAGGGAUACACAAGAAAUAUUAAAAGCUUGACUGGGCAAGUCAGCCUGUGUCAACAGUCAUGCUAAGAAUAUCUAUCACAGCAGAAGCUGUGUCCAAUCUUUGAUACCCUGACUGCAAGCUAGGUAUGUAGUUAGAUUGCUGAAGUGUAGCCCGUUUCAGUGACCUGUUACAGUGAUAUGAAGUGUUAAAUGUAUUUUUAGGUAAGCUGUCUCUGCUAAAUCUAGACAGCAAACUGCUUUUGAAUGAUUCCUGCUAUUGCUUUUUCUAAGUACUUUUUGUGACUUCUUAUGAAUGUGUACAUUAAUUAUAUACCUUUGAAUAUUCAUCCUUUUAGUUUCUUGUUCUUCUAAACAUAAUGUUCAAAUGCAAGCAUUAAUACUAGCUGAAAAUAGCAAAAAUUGCAACUGUUUCAUCACAUUUAAAUGCAGUUAAAUAAAUUUCUCAUGUCCUUUUGAUGCAUAAGAAGUUGUGUCCAUGCUGAAACAAAUCAUAGAAAAGUUCUUUUCUUAACUGUAUUUCCUUGGUAUCCAUGCCUGUCUUCUCCGAAAGCGAUGAUUCUUCCAUUUCCCAGGCUACAACUGCUUUUAGAAAACAGUAGAAAGCCUUGCAGGCAUCUGCUGUUUACUGGAUUGCUAAUUCUUAUUUAAAGCUCUUAACACUAGUCUUUUAUGACAUUAUAUUUUAGAACUUACAAAAUACAAGUGCAUUUGAACAAGUGUUACAGUUCAUUGUUAAAAUUAUUAUAGGUUAAUUCUGGAAUUAACCUACUUGCAGAAAGUAAUUUUGCAUUUACAACUUCCUGUUCUGUAUGUAAACAGUUUAUAUAAUUAUCAGCCUGUUAACAGGUUGUGGGUUUUUUUUUCUUUCCUUUAUUUAUUUAUUUUUUUUUAAGUUGAGAUAGGAAGAUGUAAAAAUUAUUUGGGUCAUAAAUCCUUCUACUUUCAAAAUCCUGAUUUCUAUUUUGAAACCUAUUAAACACUGCAACGCUGACUGCCAUAAGUUCUUUUUAGGAAUCUACUUAUGUAAGCUUCUUAACUACACUAAUAGAAAACCUAUUAUUUCUUAAUUUUAUCCUCAGAGGAGCCCUCUAAGACAGAGAAGUAUUAGCUUAAUUAGAUAGGCAAGGGACUAUAACGUCGGAUAGAUUGAAUGGCACGCAUAGGUCACACAGGAAGCCUGUGGUUGGGCUGAGAAUUUGAAACAAGGUCUCUUGAGUCUUGGUCUAGUCUCAUCUUUUGUUUACAGCUAUACAUUAAGCCAUUUGUUAUUUUAAUUCUCAUUUAGUACUUAUGUUAGUCUGGGAUUCUUUUUUUAAAAAUAGAACUUUCUAUAAGUCCUUAGAGUAAUUCUUAAAUCUUCAUUGAAAAUGAAACUCAAACCAAAGCUGCAUUUUUCUUUUGGGUUUUUUUCUUUCUUUAAGGGUUGGUUUUGUUUUUUUUUUUUAAAUACUUUUUUUUGACUCUGAACAUCCUGCUUUUGCUGAGAUGAGAAAUAGAAGAAACUGCAACAUCUUCAACCUUGCAGAACUCAAGACUAGCAGGAAAACUCACAGAAAAGUUUUGCCUCAUGACAUUGCCCCUUUAGUUAGAUAUGAAAGAAAAGAAGUGCACAAAAGGUCAACUUAAGAACUCAUAAACAAGAUGCAGUUAAGAAUCUCGGAGAGGUGGUGCCAAUUUUUUGCUCUCAGAGGCUCUGGAGUAUAUGGAUGUCAAUAACUUGUGCAGUCCCGCCACAACCAUCCUACUUCAAUUAGAUAGUGAAGGAAGCAGAUGACCAGCGAUGCAAAAACCCACUGACCAAAUUUUUCUGCUCACCACAGGCAAAUUCUGCCUUAUCUCUAUUGCUACAUCUGCUUCACUAAGUAGUUCCACAGUUCUUACACUGUCCUCAGCCUUAACAUGGGUUAUUAAUGCACACAUUUUGAGUUUGGAUGAAUUGCUAACACAUGCUCAGGCAAAAUUAAAAAAAUUGUUACAAAUCAUAUGUUUUAUAUAUACUGUGCAUAUCAGAGUGAUAAUCAUGUUUGUGCAAAGUAACCAGUUUUCCUUUUUAUACCUUGUAAGGAAGGUGCAGUGAAUGAAAAUGAAUUCCCCUGUGUAACUGUUAAGUGUCUGGUUUCUAUAGGUGAAACAUUAUCAGAGCCCAAGUAGUUCUUGAAUUUAAAUUAUUUAUCAUUUAUUUAUCACUAGAGAUGUCUUUUCAUGUUAUAAUACCACUUAAAGAGCUGUAAUGUCCAUAAAAUAGCAGUGAAAAUUGCAAAUAUUGUAAUGUUUGGAAAGGUGUUGCAUUCUAGGAAGGAACCUGUAAAUGCUCUUCCAAACCCCCUUUUUUAAUUGCUAUGACAGAUCAUGCCCUUUGAUGUUUGCUUUCCAGCAUGAAUACUCUAACAAACAUGUUUACUUCUAAGAACAUUCACUGAAAGAACAAACUGAAAGCAUAUACUGCUGACUACUUACAGAACACAAAUUAGGAAUCUGUGUUGCAAGUAAUUUUAGUGAACACUGAGUUCAGACAAAAUUCUCACAUGGUAAGGACAAUGAAGUAUAUCAUAUUAUUUGCCACUCAAAAUAUGUUCUUAUAGUGGAGACAUUCUCACUGAAGUCAUUAUUUACCUCUACCUGUGCUUAGCAGUUACACUCUGUAAGAAUUUGUUCAGUGCAGGAAGUUGACUCUGUUUAUUCCAAGCUGUGUAUUUGCAGUGUGUAGCCACCGCUUCCCAUAUAUGGAAUGUGUAAGGAAAAAUAUACUUUUCACUGGAAAACAGCUCCUAGUAUAGCUCAUAUGACUGAAAUCUACAAAUGUUUAAUUGGUUGCUUGACUAUUUGCUUGUUAAAACUUUUCAAGAUAGAAUGUAUAUGUAUUACAUAGAAAGUGUGUGUUAUUGUUAGUGUUUUUCAAAUUCUCUGGUGCUAAGCAGCUAUAAAUUUCAUCUUUUAAGACUUCUAAAAAGUGUAAUAUAAGGUAGGAUAGCCUGCCUUUUUCUUUUUUUCUUUCCCCCUAAUGUGAACCUUGGUUGAACGAAUUAGCCUUCAGACCAGAGCAUUAGGAACAAGUAAAUCUGUUUGCUUCGCUGAAGGCAAACAAGGGUGAAAUGAUUUAAAGUCAGGUAAUACAACACCAUGAGGGCGUCUCUUAGUGAGUUCCUGUGCAUGUGCCUUGCUUCUUAUGAUAAUAAUGGUCUGUGGUAACGUGUUCUAAUACACGUUCCCACAGAACUACAUAACUGUUGCAAAAUGAAUACGGGUUAAAAAGAAAUCAUAAAAAUGGUCAUCCAGAAGAAAUCAACAUUUGCUACAUUCUUCUAGAAUUCCUCAAUCCAUGGACAAGGAUGUAGUGGUUAUAAAAUAAACUUCAGGCAAUAUUUCAAGUUCUGGAAUAGAGUAGAAUAGAAUAAUUUUCCUGAAACUGUGACUAUGGAUGCGAGUAGAAGAUACUACCUUUAAUCAUUUCAAUAAGGUAUACUAUUUUCCCAUAUAAACCCUUUAUCUUAGUCAGUAAAACGACCAUUCACAAAAUCUUUUUCCUCUCCUAUGAUAUUAUGGAGUGUGGAGGGAAGCCCCCUCAGAUGUCUGGCAUUGGCACCUCACUUUGUCUCAUUUUCUGCUGAAGGAAAAUGGCAGUGGGAAGAAUGGCAGCAUUGAUUUGGCUUGAGUUCUGACACCUGUGUCCUGAAGAAAAUGUUUUCCUUUAGUCCUAAAUCCCAAAUUCUAGUGUAAGAAGUUUUGGCAAAAUUUCAGUGAAUUUUUUGUCUGCUCCUAUGUUAAGAAAUUAUCUGUGAAAAAAAAAAAAAUGGAAACUGAGUGAGUGGUCUAACCUAUACAUGUAGUUACACUGAUUUAUUCAUUGAAUUCGGUUUCUUAAAUUUUUUAGUGUCAGUGCUUUCUUGUGUCUCAGGAUCAUCACUCCUAUAGUUUUUCUUUGUCAAGCUUUCCUUAAAGACAUAUUGUGGCAACAGCACAAAACCAAGAAGGUAUAUUCAUAGCAGAAGGCAAGAGAAAGAUCACACUGUUUUUUAGCCUUAUUCUUUGUGUUGUCCACACUACCGGUCAGCCUCUUCAUCUGAGACUUUCUCUCUACAUCUGCAGCUCUUAAAAAUGCAAUGUUUUCAUUCAGAGUUAGAAUGUAAUGUUCGACGUUACAAUGAAUCCAAUUAAAAGAUGUAUUCAGAGCCAAAGGAUCUGUAGGAGUGUCAUUUGAGUACACAUAAGACGUCUAACAGCAGUAGAUCCAGUUCUUGCUGUUUACUCAUCCCCUCCAGGAAAUCAAUUUUAAAAAAUAAAAAUAUUUUAAGGUUGUUAAAAUAGCAAGUGGCUUAAAAGUAAUCCUAGGUGUACUUGUCUACUACCUUUAUCCACUAGGUGACAGUACAGCUCUUUUACCUUUUGUAUCGUUGUCCAUAGGUGUAUUUUAAAAAGUCAUGCUAUGCAAACCUAAGAACAUGUUGUUUCCAACUGAGAAGUAUGUGCCGUGUGAAUUUUUUUUUCUAAUGCGAAAAAAUUGUGUAUGGUACGAAAUUUUUUUUAUCAGUAUAGUUAAUUAGCAUAAGCAACAUUUCUCAUCAUUGGGCAAGCAUGUUUGUUUUUAACUGUGAAAGGCACUACUGAGUGCCUUAGCUGUGGUCUGAUAAAUAGCUAUCAAAAAAGCAAAUGCUGAAAGUAACUGAAAAAAAAUCAGUUUGCAGCCCUAAGGUAAGAUAUGCAAAACAACUAUGUUUUUGUCUUUGAGAAAGGAGCUUAAAGUACAGUAAAACUGUAUUUUAAAUAAAGAAUAGAUUGUGCAGUGUAAUUGACCCUUGUUUAGAUGACUUGUUACAGCUAUUUAAUCAAAUAGGAGUUAUGCACUUUCUGAACUUCUACUGUUCUAUGUCCCAGGGUUACUAAUAUGAAAGACUUGUGUUAUAAAACGUAGUUGUCUUUUACUUCAGCAGUUACUUACUCCUUACUUUUGGUAAAUUUUUUAGAAGCUCAAACACUGGAAAGAAAGUAGAAGGUAGAACUAUAUUUCCUUGUAAAGCUGCAUGCAUUUUGGAAAAUGACCCCGCUAAUGUUCAUUUCUCUGGUGCCCUAGACUUCAGUAACUUAAAACUGAAAGUGUCUGUAGACAAAUUCCCUAUUCCACUGUCCCUGCACAAGAUUAAAUUUACUGUAAAAAUUAACUUUAGUACAUAUAUACUAUUUAACUGUAUAAUUAAUCAAACUAAUCAUUUUUCAGGGAUAUAAAAACCAGGUGAAAGUAUUUAAAAAGCCCAGGAUUGUAAUGCCUUUGUUAAUAAGAAACAAGUUUUUGAAUGUAUUCAAUAAUGGCACACAUCUUCAAUGAAAUUGUUUUUUCUUACACUUUCAAUUUGGGUACUGCUUGUAUUUUGUGUAACUGUAUAUUCUCACUAUAUUGAGGUGAUUCUUCUUAAAGAAAAGGACAGUGUUACACAGUAGAAGUAUUUGCUUUUAUCAUUGCAUUGCUGCAUUCUGAGACUAAAUCUUUAAAACAAAACCCUAAAUAUUAGAUAGACAAAUUAGAGGAAAUAUAACAUAUUAAUUAUAAAACAUGCUAGUCAGCAAAUAAAAAAUGAAAUGCAUUUAUUCAUUUGAUAAGCACCCUCAAUGUGAACCUCUUAGGUUUAUUUUGAAUAUUUAGGGGAAAAAAAGACUUGCAAUAGUUUACUCACUACUUGACAAAAUUUCAGUAUGAUUUACAGUUCUAAUUGUUAGCAGAAAUUUUGACAGGAUUUAUGCUCUGGUUACAAACAUUAUUCCCUGAAAUGGUGCAAGUUGGAAUAGAAUUUGGCCCGUUUCUGUUUAAUGGCUGAGGAUCAUGUAUGGCUUGCACAUUUAAAAUUUAUGAUAGAGCAUUACAAAGGUUCGCCUUGUACGUUGACUUAGAAUUUCUAGUGACGUUGAAGGCUGGUUUAUUUCAGUGCUUUGAGUGAAAUGCUGUGGUUCGCCGUUGAGACAUCAUUUAAUAUAUAUGUAUAUAACUGCUAUUUGGUUUUUUUAGUACAGCAUGAAGUAAGAAUACUUCACUUUUUAAAGAGUUCAUCCACAACUUGCAUCAUUUUCCUGCUUUUUUUUCUCAGACAGUCAAGAUCUAAUAAAUUUUACAUUGUCAAAUGUAUGCCCGUUAUGGUAAUUGAUCAUAUUUCUUUCAGGCAGACACCGUAUUUUUGCUGCACAACAUGAGAAGCAUUUCUGUACCUUUCAGUUUAAUACUAGUACAGUGAAUUAAGAAAAUGUACAUACAUGAUUUUAAGUAAUUGUACAAAUAAUAGGCACUAAUGUUAAACAAAAUUUACCGAGCUUUUAACUGAGAGAUGAUAAAAGGAUGCAAACAAAUUGUACUUACAAAAAUGCUGCAAUUUUCUACCAUAAUUCAGGAAUCAGAAGGGCAUUCCCGUUCAUAACUUUCUGGUUAACAAUAUGUAAUUUCCACAAUCCAAUUGUAGUUAAGGGUGUCUGCGGCCAAACUCAACCAUUACAAAAAAAAAAAAAAAAAAAAAAGAGAGACGUUAUUAAAUAUUUUUCUUAGUGAUUUUUUAAAAAUGUGUAUCUGAAAAAGUUCUACUUUCUUGAGGUGCACAUAAAUCAAAGUUCAUGGUUUUCUGACGGUUAAACUUGUGAAUCAUAGAACAUGUUAUCUUACAAGAAGCAGUUUCAGAAACCUAAAAAAUAUUAGUGUUAACAGAAUAUAAUGUUAAUAUUUGAGAGGAAUUAGCUGCCUUUUGUGUGCAUUUUCCCAAAGCAAAACCUGAGCUCUAUCAUGCUUUGUAAGCAGAUGCUGUAAGCAGUUUGUAAGCACAACAAAAGUAACUAGAGUUUGCUUUUGAAGGGCAUCUGGUGCAAUAUGUGAGCAUGUACCAACACCCUUAGCCUGUUUCUUACCUUCCUCAUAUUACACUAAUAACUCUAGUUAUUUGUGAUUUAUAGCAAUGCUAGAGAAGCGUCAGAUCAGUCAUGCUCUUAGCAGCUCCUUCUGCAAAAUAGGAUAUUAAACAAUACCUUUGCUGCUAAAGUCUGGUAAUCUCUACUCUGUUUUUCCCAUGGAAAGGAAAAAAAAGAUGGCUUGAUUCAGAACUUUCUGAAAUCUGUAAAAACAAAGCUCUCUGUCAGCUUCAGCAGGUAUUGGGUCAAGACCUGUAUUCUGAUCCUGCAAGGAUUUAAAUGCCUUCUCUUAUAUAUCCAUUAACUUCACAUAAGCAAAGUAAUUGGUAAUUUGGGGCCCUUUAAUUUUAUCAUUAUUUGUAUUGCUUUUUUUUUUUUUACUUUGUUCCAGUAUAAGUUGUAGUUGCAUCAUUCACAGUUGAGGUGUUUUCUUUUUAUUUGAAAUUUUUGAUGUUCAUUUCUUUACAAAUUUUCAUCUGGACAAUAUUGGAAAUGUGCAAAAGAAAGUUCUCUUAGCUUAGAAACGUAUGACUAGAUGGAGGAUGAGCUUUAAGAAUUAUUGUCAUUCAAAUAAAAUAAAAAAAUUGAAAUGUUAACACAGAAUGUAGUAGUUGGAAGGAUAAAAGCUGACUUUUGUCUCUUCGGAUGCAGGAACUGCCUUUCCUAUUAGAAAUGGCUAAAAACCUCUCUGUAUUCAGUGUUUUACAGCAGAAUGCAGAGUCUAAAUGUAAAAUUGUCAGCAUUAUUUCAGAGACUUUGAAGAUGUGUAAGCCUCUAGAUAGUUGGUAAACCAUAGCACCGUCUGUCAAUCCUUAGCUAAAUAGUUUAUUGCUACUAGCAGGUAACAUUAGGAUACUGCAAUCUUUUCACAGCACAAGUGAAAAGGCAAGACUUUUUCUCCCGUUCCAAGUAACGAAAAUAGACAUGGAAGUGACAUUCAUUGUUAUCUGUUUGAUAUGAAGUAAUUUGUAAUAAUGUAUUAAUUAUAUGUGAACAGCAGCUAUUUCAAUACUUUCUUCAUGCUUUGGGAUGUUCUGUCUGUGCUUCUUCUCAGUUCCUUACUAAUAUCUUCCUAUACCCUCGCUACCUGGCUAGCACUUAUGUGAUUUUACUGUUGGGCAAAUUCAGCGUGAACUAUGGCUAGUUCGGCGCGAUGGCUGCAUAAAUAGACUCAUAAUUAAUGGCUGCAACUAGAUAUAUGACUGUUGCCAGGCAUAAUUAUUCAUUAUAUUUCCCUUUAAAUAAAAGCAGAUAAGACUAUUAGACUGAAAACCUGUCUAGCUUGACUUCUCCACAGCUGAUUUAAAAAUUUUUUUUAAAAAUUAAAAUAUUUUUAGGAUAUCUAUCUCUGUGAUAGCUUUAAUUGAAAUUGAUCAGUGAAUUAAUCACGGAAUCCCAGACACCUGAGGUUAGAAGGGGUCUCUGGAGACAGUGUCGAGAUCAACUUAGUUUCAAAGAAUGCUCAGGUAGGUUAGAUUGCUCCAGGCUACGUCCACUUAGGUUCUGAGUAUCUUCACAGCCUCUCUGGGCAACCUGUCCAGUCAGCUUUGCAAAAAGAGUUUUUCUUAUGUUGAAACAGAGUUUGAUGUACUUCAGUUUUUCAGCUUGCCUCUUGUCCUGUCUCUGGGCACCAAUGCAGAAGAGCAGACUGGCUUGGUCAACCCCAGCCUACAUGUGAGGUAUUCACAUAGAGUGACAAGAUCUCCCUGAACCUUCCCUUCUCUGGGCUAAGCAGUGCCAGAUCUCAGCCUUUCCUUGACUGUCAGAAGUUCCCAUCCCUUUGGGGCGCUUUGUUGGACUUGCUCCAAUUUGCCCAUGUCCCUUCUGCUCACACACAAGACAGUGCAUGCUGUCUGUCACUGUUCUUUCCAUUCCGUCCUGCAGAAUGUAUGUAGGUAAACUGUACUUAGUGAGCAGUCAAAGGUGAUUAUGUUUUUUCUGCAUCAGUUCGAAAACUAUCAGGCAAUGGGAUUAAAAGUAUAUUUGAGUUGAUUUUUCCCUGUAUGUAAAAUAAUCAGAAGUGCAGAAGCUACAGCAGGGAAUGCUUGGCAACAGCACUGCAAGCAGAAUUCUUCACAGCAAAAAAGCAGUAUCUUUGCUGUAGCCAAUGGUACUGCUUGUUGUUCAGGAUAUACGUUUGUUGUUCAGAAUAUACAAACUCUGAUAAAAUAAUUCAGUACACUGAGGAAAGUAAUGCCUGCUGCUUGCACCUGAAUUUUUAGUGACUUUUAUGUAGGUCCUAUAAACAUAUAAGUGAUCUGCAACAAGUACUUGAAUCUUCCCAUUUUGAUUCCAUUGUACUUUCCGACACAAUUUGUUUUCAAAGAAGCCACUUUAUUCUUUAGCAGGCAGCUGUGAAUUCUGGAAAUUGCUCUGUAACAUGGGCAUAACAUUCUUUUUACUGAUUUCAGUAGUUAAGACUUGGACCAAAAAUAUGCCUAUGAAUUGUACACAUUUUUAAAUAGUUAUACUGUAGAAUAGCCAUGUUCUUGUUAACUGUUACAUAUGCUUGCACCUGAUCAAAUUUGUUUGGGUUUUUUUACAUCACUAUUUGUAUUCCUGCUUUGAGUUACCUGUCAUUUGGUUAAAGAAACGUGAUGUAUUCAAAUACAGAAGUGACAGGUAGGAGAAAAACCUAGAAAACAGGCAUAGCAAUGUGAGACAGAUACAUGGGAAAAAGCAAUUCUAACUUGCCAAGAAAAUUGCCUUCAAGGCUUUCUCAAUUUUUGAGUUAAAGCAUUUCAAAAUAAUAAAAUGCUAUUUAUUAUAAUAGCAUUACAUAUAAAACAGCAUUUUAAUGUAAGUAUAUUCCUCAUCUAGAUAUUUUACAGCAUUUUCCUGAAAACUUUUUAUGUAUUCUUUUUCUGAAUGUACGUAUGAACAUGAAGCACGAGUAAUUUAGGAAAACUGAGCACCAAAACUUUCAGGAGAUCAUUGCCUAAGACCAAUGUAGAACAUCAAAUAAGGGUUACUUACUCAAAAUCUCUUUUGUCCCUUGCUUCUCAAGUAAUAUUAGCAGCAAACACACAACAAAGUAGUUUUCCAGCUUUAUUAGAGAGAGAAUUCUGAUUACCAGUAGUAGUUUUUAAAGAGGGUACCUGCCCUUAAGGGACUCAGAGUAGGAGAGGAAACAUCAGGGCAAGAAUGGAUAGAAGAGCUUCCAAUGGAAAAGCAUGCCACGCAACUUAGCUCACAAAUCUCCAAGAGAAAAUUGUUCAUAAAGUCAAAACUUCAGCUCCCCCCUAAUGUCUUUUAGAGGUUUCUGAGCAGUAGCUAAAAAACUUAUUUGAUGAAGGAUCAUGAUAGAUGGAGAAUGUUUGUGAUUCAGUUUGGUAAAGCAAAUGCAGAUUAACUUGUGGUGUUUGGGAUUUACUGGUAUUGGUACAUGUUGACUUGCUGGAUUUUUCAGUUGUGAUUCAUGGGGCUGUGAAUUGAGAAGAUGCAGAUCACUGACCUGAUACUACUGAAGUUCAUGCAGAUAAAAACUCAGAAGCAAAAAACUGUUGGGAUUUUUUCAAGCUAGAAAUACAAGUGGUUGUGUUUCUUUAGCUAAAUCAAAACUUUUCCCACUGCAGUUUUGGAAAUGCUUUGGCUAAUUAUUUGAAUUAAGGUAUUUCUCAUGCUCGGCUUUUAGUCUAAUUUAUUCAGGCAACAUGUACUGAAGAAAAUAAUUCUUACAACAGUGUGUGAAGACUAAGUAAACAACGUAUGCUUUCCUAGUUUUAUAGAUACAUGAUGAUAUUCCCUGUUCAGGAUUUCCUAGGUAUGCAUCAGAGUUCAUCCUGAUGCAUUCAGAUGUUGGAGGAAAUCUCUUGUUCUGCUUGCACAAAGGGCCUCUUCUACUACAGUAUUUCUGUUUCUUCUAAAGUUGGGAGGUGUGUACUACCCAGCAUUUGUCAGAGUGAAGGUUCUGUCCUGUAUUAUAUGCAGGGCUCAGCUUAAAAAGCUUGUUCUUCAUGCUUUUUUUUUUUGCUUUUUUUUUUCUUUUUAACAUUUCUAGAUAAGUUUAAUGGAUCGUUUCCAUUAAAAAUACAGCUACAGAAUGCCUAUACGUUAGGGAGAUUUCAUAUGACUCUUGUUGCACCUGAAAAAAUAGUUUCAUUUUCAGCCCUAAAUAGUGGGAGAACAACAUCAAUGUUUCAUGGUUUUACGUUUUAACAUACCAGGUGAGAGAGCUACUCUUCAGAAUGGUUGUCAUGCUAGUUUGAAAAAAAACACAAAAACUUGUGAGCUUUCUGGAGUUGAACAGUCUGUGCUGGCUGAGUGCCAGUGUAAGUAAAAUGUGCAGAAAUGUAAUGGCCUGGAGCAAACUAAUAAAUGAGAGUUGCAUGAGGUUAGAGUUGAGAUCUGGGAAAAACAAGAAAAUGCAUGUCAUCAAUAUUUAUUUGUGCUUUUGGAGGAUUCUAAUGGGGAAAACAAAUAUGUUUUGUUUUAAAAGAAAACAUUAAGGUAAAAGAUAGAAAGUUGGAAAAUGCUGUAUAUUCAGAAGUAACAGUAUUAGCAAAUCAUGGCCUCUGUGAGUUGAUUAUGGCUCCUACUGCUAGGCUGUGUCUAUACAGGUGCUUGCAACUCACAGAAAUGGCAAGAUACAACAGGUGGAUGGCAGUGAUAAAUUAAGAUGAAAGGGAGAAGAAUAAUGCAAUGACAGAGCAAUGUGUGCAAAGUUUAGGUAUAGCUGUAACUGUCUGGAUUCAGCAGAUUAAACUAUCAUUACUUAAGUUUUACCUUCUGUGUUGCCAUUGUAUAGUGUAUGCAUUAUCAGAUGCAUACAAGGAUUAUCCUUGAAUGUCUGCUGAUGUGAUUUCAUCUGAUCUAUUCACUCAGAUGAACAAGGAAUGCUAUUUUGAUAGCAUUUGUGUUCUGUGCAUAUGACAUUAUAAUAGCAAAGGCUCAACAUAGAUUUACAGGGAUGCAAACCUUCUUAUCAGAUGGACUUUGAUUCUGAAGCAUGAUGGUAAUGCCCAUGGCAAAUUGAUAUUCAAAAACUAAUGAGAAAUGUCCUGAUAGUUUAGCUUGUGAAAGAGGAAAAAAAUUACAUGUGCCGUGAACAGCACUUGUGAGUGCUGACCAUCACUGGAAGAUACACUGUGCUUGUUAGAGGAAAGAUUUCUGUACCUAAUGUUUGAAGCUUCUUUGUUACUUCAAAAUUCAUAUAAUUUUUAAAGUGAUUAGAUGUUGUUUCUUUUCCUAAAAAAAGUGUUUUAAUUCCAGAUUAAGUGAAGGAAAGCAAUUAUUUAACGCAGCCUGUACCAGUUCAGAGAACUGUUUGUUUCCUCAGAACAAUUUUCUGUUUCACAAAAAA